rnacentral:rRNA from 1 species
GCAGACGGGUGAGUAAUGUAUAGGAUCUACCUAGUAGUACGGAAUAAUUGUUGGAAACGACAACUAAUACCGUAUACGCCCUACGGGGGAAAAAUUUAUUGCUAUUAGAUGAGCCUAUAUUAGAUUAGCUAGUUGGUGGGGUAAUAGCCUACCAAGGUAAUGAUCUAUAGCUGAUCUGAGAGGAUGAUCAGCCACACUGGAACUGAGAUACGGUCCAGACUCCUACGGGAGGCAGCAGUGGGGAAUAUUGGACAAUGGGCGAAAGCCUGAUCCAGCCAUGCCGCAUGAGUGAAGAAGGCCUUUGGGUUGUAAAGCUCUUUUAGUGAGGAAGAUAAUGACGGUACUCACAGAAGAAGUCCUGGCUAACUCCGUGCCAGCAGCCGCGGUAAUACGGAGAGGGCUAGCGUUAUUCGGAAUUAUUGGGCGUAAAGGGCGCGUAGGCUGGUUAAUAAGUUAAAAGUGAAAUCCCGAGGCUUAACCUUGGAAUUGCUUUUAAAACUAUUAAUCUAGAGAUUGAAAGAGGAUAGGGGAAUUCCUGAUGUAGAGGUAAAAUUCGUAAAUAUUAGGAGGAACACCAGUGGCGAAGGCGUCUAUCUGGUUCAAAUCUGACGCUGAAGCGCGAAGGCGUGGGGAGCAAACAGGAUUAGAUACCCUGGUAGUCCACGCUGUAAACGAUGAAUGUUAAAUAUGGGGAGUUUACUUUCUGUAUUACAGCUAACGCGUUAAACAUUCCGCCUGGGGACUACGGUCGCAAGAUUAAAACUCAAAGGAAUUGACGGGGACCCGCACAAGCGGUGGAGCAUGUGGUUUAAUUCGAUGCAACG